AAAACUGAGAUGGGGAAAGGGAAUCCAAGCGGGAUGGGACGGCCGGACAGCCGGGCCGGGGAAAGGAAACUCGAGCGGGAUGGGGAAGGCAAACCCCAGCGGGAUAGGACAGUCAGGCCGGGGAUGGGGAACCGGAGCGGGACGGGGAAAGGAAACCCCAGCGGAAUGGGACAGCCGGGACGGAGAUGGGGAACCCCUGCAGGAUGGGACAGUCGGGGUGGGGAUGAGGAACCCCAGCGGGAUGGGACAGGCGGGCCGGGGAAGGGGAGCGGCCCCCUCCCUUCCGCCGGCGGCAGGAAGCAGGAAGGGAGCGGGCAGGGCUGCGGGGAGCCCGGGCGGUCUCUGCUCUUCUCCCUCGCUGUGGAGAUGGUGGUCCUGCAGGCUGGACUCUGCCCUGGUCUCACUGAAGACAUGAUCCAGCUCCUCAGGGCCAAUGGCAUCAGGACGGUGGUGGACUUUGUGUCUUCAGACCUGGAGGAUGUUGCCCAAAAGUGUUCCCUGUCUUACAAGGCGCUGGUUGCAGUCAGACGUGUGCUCCUGGCCCAGUUCUCUGCCUUCCCUGCCAAUGGAGCUGACCUCUACGAGGAGCUCAAGAGCUCCACUGCCAUCCUGCCCACUGGCAGCCCAAGCCUGGACCAGCUGCUGGACUCAGGGCUGUACACGGGAGAAGUGACAGAGCUCAUGGGAGCACCAGGCACUGGGAAGACACAGGUGUGCCUGGGCAUUGCAGCCAGUGUGUCCCUGGGGCUCAAGCAGCACGUCCUGUUUCUCGACUCCACGGGGGGUUUCACUGCCUCCCGUCUCUGCCAGAUGCUCCAAGCCCAGACAGAGGAUGAGGAAGAGCAGCUGGAGGCUCUGCAGCGGGUGCAGGUGGAACGUGUGUUCAACAUCUACGAGGUGCUGAGUGCCCUGCAGGAGCUGCGGGAUCGCCUCUCCCAGCAGGUCGUGAGCUCCGUGGGACCUCUCAAGGUGGUGGUGCUGGACUCGGUGUCGGCUGUGAUUUACCCUCUGCUGGGUGGCAGGCAGUCAGAGGGUCUGGCCCUCAUGAUGCAGCUCUCCAAGGAGCUGAAGACCCUGGCCAGGGAGUUCAGCCUUGCUGUUGUGGUGACCAACCAGGUGACAAGGGACAGCAGCAGUGGCCCACUGAAGCCAGCCCUCGGCCGCUCCUGGAGUUUCGUGCCCAGCACCCGAGUGCUGCUGGAGAGCAGAGAAGGCUCCUGGGAGAGACCCAGCACACAACGUGCAGCUUCCCUGGCCAAGUCACCCCGGCAGCCAACAGGGAUCCAGGUGGAGCUGGACAUUGGAAAUGGUGACGUGUUGGAACCCAGCCUGGUGACAGCCACACAGGGCCUCUGAUGGGAUGGAGAAGCAAAUGUCACAAGGUUCAAGAGAGCUGCACAAAAGCAGUGCUUUCCAGCUGCUCUUGUGUGCUCUUGGCAACCUCCUGAGGAGAGGGAGGCUUGGAUGUGGAGUUUCCUCUUGAUCCCAGAUGUCUCAGAUGCCCUCAGUUUAAGAGACCUCCUUGGCAGGUUCUGCAGGGGAGGCAAAGCUCUUGUGGGGGAGUGUGGAGCAGGGAAGAGCCAAGCAGAAACCUCUGGGGUUAUAUUUGAACCAAGAGGGCUUUCCAGAUGUUUCCUUCCCCUAACCAGCAGGAUGAGAAGAGGAACAAAAUGUUAGAGUCAGCAUGAGACCAACCAUGUGUGAUCCCUGAGAAAUGACAGGAGAAAUUCCAGCCUUGCACUCAGUCCCCAGGGAGUCACGGGGUGGUGACUCAACGGGGACACUGCCAGUCUGUCAGGAAAGGUGAUGGUGUGAGCUCUGGGCUCCUUCAGAGCUUCCCACCCCAGCUUUCAUUGGCAUAAUGGUGACUGGGGGGGGGAUUUUCUCUCCUUGGCAUUCAGCUCAUUGCUGCUGUGGGAGUUUUUUCCCUUUUGGGAAACAUCUGGGGAGGGUGGUGUGAUUUGGGUCUGGCUGGGUUUUGUGUGGCAGCUCUUCUGCUCCCAGGUGUGCUCUGAGCUCACAGGGCUGAAUUUCUGGCUGUGUUGCUGCAGGGAAGGUGUCGCUGUGGCUGCUGGCUGUUUCACAGUGUGGGGACAGCAGGAGUGUUCAGGGAAUCUCUUACCCCAUCUGGAAAAACUUGACUUCCUGCUCAAGCUGAUUUGCCCUAAAUUUGCAUAGUAAAAUCAGGCUUAAAGGAGUUUCUGACCUAAAUAUCCUCAUUAAGCCUUUCCCCACCAUGCUCAGUCAGGCACUCCUGCAGCUCUCUAAUGCAGAGUUCAGGAUGUUCUUUUUCCCUGCCUCUUCCCAAUGCUCAAAACAGCUGGAAAACCUCUGGAAAGGCUUGGAGCAGGGCAGUGAAUCCCAUGCCAGGGCAGGCAGGGCACCUCUC